GGGACUUGUCACUGCCUGCCUCCUCCCUCUCCAGCAGUGACUGGAUUCUGGAGUCCAUCUAGAGGGUCUUGGGAGGGAUGUGACUGUUGAGAAGCCC
ensembl:miRNA